UUGUGAGCCCUUGCGUACGGAAGAGGUAAAUGAUAACGUAGUAUGGAUGAGUAAUUUUAGUAGUUUAACGCAGAAACUCCAUGGUUUCCCGUUUUUUUAGUUGCUGUUCCGCGUCAUAGUCGCACGUGCGACAGUACACAAGGGGUUUCUUCGAUAACGUAUAUGAGUGCUGCCAGAAGUGGUUGUGUAUCUGCCUUACCAUAUACCGAAAGUGUAUGCACGUACGGAAGCGACAUCUCAUUGUGGUCUCUGCGGUCACAGGUGCAUUGGAGAAAUCGGUCAUUACAACUGGAGAAGCCUAUAAACUCUGGCUUACUCGAGUUUGAAGAAAUUCAAUAUACAGCCCUGUUUACUUUUGGUAGGAAGAAGUUGGAAGGGCAAUAUGGACAUCCGGGUGAUGGCCUGUCAAAGUUUCAUGGCCUUUUCCAUUUUACUGGAGAAGUUUUCCACUGUCAACGGUGUCAAUGGGCUCAAGUAAUAUUUCUUAGGCUUUUCGUUGGUAUAUGUAUGUAUUGUUGGAUCAGUUGCAACAAUCGAUUUUGGAUCGUAUCACCCAGUAGUGUCUCCAUGGAAAACCAUGGUUUUUUCAAAUUUAAAGGUUUCAAUGGCUGGGCAUCUAAUCGACUUGUAACAAUGCAAGGAGUUCGAGCUGAUGGUUGACCAGCUCAGUUCAAACAUCGCGAGCAUCACCAGGUGUUGAAUUUUAUUUAUGUGUCUCACAUUGCCUUCCAGUACAAUCCUCAGCUUUUGUUCAUGUGCGAUCGCAAACCGCUGUCAUUUGCUGAUAAUUUGGUUCUGGAUCGAUUAGCAUUGGUUUCAUUUCUACCAAUUCGAGAGAGGAAAAAUGAUUUUUGGUAUGAAAACCUCAAAAUUCAUUCUUCGGCACUUAAUUGAGAUUAGCGAAUAACACCGAUGUCGAAGAUUGUGUAUAUUACUGGGCGAUUCAUUUGUGAUUAAUAUAAUAUGUUGUUGUUAGUCAUUAUGAUUAAUGUCACGGUUACAAUCUGCAUUUCCUUUGAUUACCGCUAAUACUAUAUUUGAUAUUUAAGUCUUGGCUUUCGAGAAUGAACGAAUGCUCAGCAAAAUAUUGUGAAAACUAUCAAUUUCGAGAAUUUUGCUCCCAUUUCUCUUAUUAUUUUUUUAUUUCAGGAAAAAAGUAUUUCAUUACAAGUUGUUUUUGUUUAGUGGAUAAAAAUUAUCUAUUGUGAAAGAAAAUAUAAUCCCAAAGGUUUAUAUUUACAAAGGAAUUCCGUUUUCCGUAAUAUAAAUCUGGAAAUGAUGAGUUUGAAAAACUGCAUCGAAAAAAAAAAUCUCGAAAAAAAUUAUUUCUCGUUAAAAGUUUUUUUAUAUUAUCUAAAAAAUAUAUUUAUGGACGUUUUGUUAAGUUUAUUCCUAACAUUGAUAUUUUCAGACGGAAUUGAAUAAAAUGAGUUGUAGUUUUGCAUUGAAUCUCUUUAGAUUUCUGGAAGAGCCUCAUGACAAUUUCAUCAAAGAACAAGAUUAACUUUUCCACUCUAUUUACUCCUCAUUUCACUAAACUGACUUUUCGAUCAAGUCCGAUAGCCUGUUUUCCUCAACGUCUCUGUUAACCAUAAAUUUAAAUAUAAAAUCACCAAAACAGUUCUUCCAAGAAGACUUAUUAUUACCGAAGUUUCGGAAUUUUGUUGUAUUUUCUUUGCCUCGACGAGGAAAGACAGAACCUACACACGUCGCAAAGUAAUCAUAUUAGGGACUGUAAUCGUGUUAUCAGGAUAUUCCCCUCUGUCCAAUGGCACAACCAGACAUCUCCGAUAUAUCAUAUUGUUCUACAAAAAAUAUACAACAAAAAAGUCAACACUUUUUUCAAUCAAUUUUCCUGCAUUCUUAUU